rnacentral:rRNA from 1 species
GUGAGGAAUAUUGGUCAAUGGGCGAGAGCCUGAACCAGCCAAGUCGCGUGAAGGAAGAAGGAUCUAUGGUUCGUAAACUUCUUUUUUAGGGGAAUAAAGUGCGGUACGUGUACCGUUUUGUAUGUACCCUACGAAUAAGGAUCGGCUAACUCCGUGCCAGCAGCCGCGGUAAUACGGAGGAUCCGAGCGUUAUCCGGAUUUAUUGGGUUUAAAGGGUGCGUAGGCGGAAGAAUAAGUCAGUGGUGAAAGUUUGCAGCUCAACUGUAAAAUUGCCGUUGAAACUGUUUUUCUUGAGUGUAAAUGAGGUAGGCGGAAUGUGUUGUGUAGCGGUGAAAUGCUUAGAUAUGACACAGAACACCGAUUGCGAAGGCAGCUUACUAAGAUACAACUGACGCUGAGGCACGAAAGCGUGGGGAUCGAACAGGAUUAGAAACCCCUGUAGUCC